CAUGUUGCAACUUUAAACUUAUUCCUGAAAAGAGAAAUUUUAGAGGAAUAAUAGGGAAUAGGGAUUUGCUGAUCCCCAUUUAUCUAUCAUGCAAGCGGGGCUUAAAGAAGCUUUAUUUUUAAAGGCGAAGGUCUCCCUCCCGUUCGAAUACCCUUCGACCUUCGACCUUCUCCCCACGGAAAUGAACCAGAGUAGACGGCGAUGGAGUCCCCUCUCCUCUAACUAAACCCUAGUUUCUCCCAUAGAAACCCUAAUCAAACUCAGCUCCAUGCGAGGAGGGACAGAUAUGGAUAGCUUCAAGAUUCGAUUCGCCGUUUCGCUGGUUACCUCUCUCUCUGGCGUUCUCCUCGGGAGCCCGGUGAUGGUGAUCCACAUGCUGGCCGGCUACAGGUUUUCGGUUUCUUGUUCCAGUUCUUCUCUCUCCUCUCCUCGUUGAAUCGAGGAGUGCUUCCCUUUUGCGAUCGUUGAGAAAUCUCGUGAAAGGUUUGCGGCUCUGCUUCUAGUCUUCUCCUUCACAUCUUCAAAUCGUACAAGGGUUGGAGAGGAGAGGAAGAGGGACAUUGAUGCUGGGUUCAAGGAAGGAGGGCAGCGGAAUUGGGUUCCAGUUCUAUAGCUAAUAGUGCUCUUGCGACUAUCUUGGUAAUCAUAUUUGCAGCAAUAGGUGGUGGCCAAGAUAGAUGCUUGGACACAAGACAGUCAAGGCUUGUGACUGGCCUUGUUGGUGGUGUCAUUGGUCAUUAUGCCUGAUGCAAUGGUGAAACUUGGUCUUUGGAACUAGGAAUUUUUAGCAAUUCACAACCAUGACUAGUUACAAUCUUUGAGACAGCCCGAAAGGCAAAUGGUGGAGUCACUAUGGAGGGACUUCUAGGAGCUGCAGUAGCUGGCUGUGUUAUUGGGCUGGCUUUUGUUGUCAUUGGAUUGCUUACAACAGAAUGUGCUGGAGAUGUAGCUAGCAUUCACCUCCUGGUGGUUGGAAAACGGGGACCAACUGCGAUCAAGAUCUCGGUAAUGAACAAUGCAGUGUCAAUAUUUUUAACUACACUGCUUACCUCCAUUGCAUGCUUGGACAGGUUAACAUCUUUCAGAAAGCUUGGCUAGACGGAUGAAGUUAUCAGACUGCCAUAAAAAUCAUUCCUCACCAUUUUGAUGGGGUAAGAUUGAUCAAACUCUAUCCUGCAACAUGAUGAACUUUUGUUGGCCAACAGUACACAGUCAAUGCUAGGGGCAUCAAAAAGUUAAAUAAUAUGGAUCUGUGCAUGUUUUACAGCAUUUCUUGUUAUUUUAGUGCAGACAUACAGCUUAACAUAGUUCAAGAUAGAUAAGGCUCUUGGCAGAAAAUGAACAAAGAUGGAAACAUGGGAUCUACUAUCUGGAACCUCAAGUGGCCUUCAUGUCUUGAGCCGGAUAACCUGCGUGAUCAGCAAUGCCUCGAACCCACUUCUCAAGAAGGAGAUAAGAAAAAGGCCUCAAAUCCAAUCAAUCCUUCAGGUCCUAUCAAACGCGAUAGAGGUUUGCACCCAUUUGCAUGAGUACAGGAAUCUAAAAUACACACUAACAUAUAAUGAGUCCAAGCAUUAAAUACUAGGAGAAGUGUUCACAACAUUCAUGGAGUUACACAACGAUGCACAAGUAAUGGUACAUCAACAUCAGAACUGCAUGUUUUAUUUUAGACAGAAUGCGUUAAGCUCCAAA